rnacentral:rRNA from 1 species
AUGCCAGCAGCCGCGGUAAUACAGAGGUCCCAAGCGUUGUUCGGAUUCACUGGGCGUAAAGGGUGCGUAGGUGGCGGGGUAAGUUUGAUGUGAAAUCUCCGGGCUUAACCCGGAAACUGCAUUGAAUACUAUUCUGCUAGAGGUUUGGAGGGGGGACUGGAAUUCUCGGUGUAGCAGUGAAAUGCGUAGAUAUCGAGAGGAACACCAGUGGCGAAGGCGAGUCCCUGGACAACACCUGACACUGAGGCACGAAAGCUAGGGGAGCAAACAGGAUUAGAUACCCGUGUAGUCC